UUGAAAAGCGAUUUCCUUUCAGCCUUUAGUUGUUUUCUGUUGCUCUCGGCCUUCCUCUUCUCCCUGGUCAGCCGCCCCGCCCCCUGCGCUCACCUGGCCUCUCGUGUGGUUCGCUGUGUGGUGCUCUCUCCAUAAACCUUAAGCAGUCUCACACACGCACGUACGAGUACGCGGGCAGAGAAACGCAGUCAAGAAAAACCCACACUGCAUCGUCGUCUCUCCUUGUUGAUUAUUAUCUUGCCUUCUUUUCGCCCCCUCCCCUCCUUUUCUCUGUGUCUCUCUGUCUGUCGCGUCUCUCCUACUCGUCGUUGUUUUUGCUGUUCUGUGGUUGGUGACUCAGGCUCGUUUUGCGUUUCUCUCCGCGACGGUCUUGCUGUCUACGCGUGUGGAGCCCAUCUUCUCCUUCCUCUCUUCGUAUUCCUGGUGAGUAACAGCCGUAUCAGUCUAAAAAGAAACUUUUGAGAAGACCACAACGAAAGCUCCCCCUUUCCCCUCCCCCAAGCGUUGUAGGGAUCCCUCUCUGUGCGUGCAUGUGUGUGCGUCUUGUGCUUGUCUCCGUCGUUGGUUGUGCCCCCUUCUCCUCCUCUCUCACGCACCAAGAACAAAGGAAAGAUAAGAGCAACAAGUAUGCCGCCAAAGACCGCUGCAGCAGUCGUGCGUAACGGUGCGCUGAAGCCGCACCCAAAGAACGGUGAGCGACACACUCCGGCCAAGGAGGAGGCGUCGGGGAGCACGGGCCCGCAGGUGAAGUCGCAGAUUGCGAACUCGGCCCCGGCGCCGGCUGGCAAGUCGUUCCUCGAUGCCCUGCGCUCUGGCAAGAAGCCGGCUGCUCCGACCGCCGCUGCCCGUGUGACCGUGCCGGCUGCCGCCCCGGCUGAGGACACUCAGGCUGCUGCUGCUGCUGCUGCCCCGGCUGCGCCGGCCGCCGCUGCUGCGACCUCGGCCACGGAGUCCCCGGCACCCGAACCGGCCAAGGAGGAGCGUGUCGCCACGCCAGAGCCGGCGCCAGCACCGGCCCCGGCUCCGGUGGAGGAACCCCCCAUGGAGGAGGGUGUCCCCACGCCUGCUGCGCCUGUAGGGGAGGACCAGGAGGUAGCUGCCGCCCCCGCAACUGAGGAGCCGGCGCCGAUUAUGCAGGUGGAAAAUACGAACUUCAACUGGGCCGACGACGACAUCCAGUUCCAGAUUCGUCAGCCGCAGUACGCAGCGGAGUACCCGGUCUCUGUGCUGGAGAACCUGGCCCGCAAUGUCACCUUCAAGGUGCCGGCGGACCAGAACACCAUGACGUCCGCCAUCGAGGCGCUCGCCCGCGAGCGCCAGGCCUUUGAGCAGAUGAAGCGCAACCACGAAGACGCCAUGAAGAGCCGCGAGGUAGAGCUGAACGCGCAGGAGGCGACCCUGCAAGCCCGCGAGCGCCAGCUGCAUGCCAACACGGAGACGCUGGCGGCCGAGCGCCAGCAGCUGAUUCUCCAGCAGUCGCAGUUCCGUGCCCAGCAGGCCCAGGCUCAGGCGCAAGCUCAGGCCCAGGCCCAGACUCAGAGCCAGCCGCGCACCUCGCAAACGCAGUCCCCGGCGGCCCAGGUGUCCCCGAGCCCCGCGCAGGCCGCACAGCCGGCGCAUGCACCGCAGUUGCAGCACCAGAUGCCGCCACCGCAUCAGCAGCCCCAGCCCCGUAGCGGCAACGUGUACAUGGGCGGUGGGUACGGCGCGCAAGAGUGGCAGCCGGACCAGCGCACGUGGGGCAACGAGGGCGCGAUGGGUGCCCCUGGUUUCGACAUGUACCAAGGUGCCUACCCCGGCUCCUACGCCCAGCGCAACUACCAUAUGGCUGGUGGUCACCGUGGCCAGAUGCGCAGCGGCAACCUGCAGCAGCAGCAGUUCCCUGGCAACCGCAUGCAGCCGAUGAUGCCACCGCCACAGCAGUACAGCCGCUCGAUGGCCCCGCUCGGUGCCUCCCGCCAGCAGCAGAUGGACAUGAACUUCGGCGGCCGCUCGCAGCAGAGCUACAACCCGGCGCCCAACACCGGCUACCCGCAGCGCAGCGCUCAGUGGUAAGAUCAUGCAUGACGCAAGAGGCGGGAGGAGGGACGCGAGCAGGCGUGAUGAAGACCGCCAUUAGCCACCCUAUGCGGGCGUGUGCGUGCCUCGCGAUACUCCCCACCCUCCCUCCUUGCCGCGGCUGCAUGCCGGCGGAGAGCGUCGAAGAGGAAGGCGUGCGCCAGUUCUCUUCCUUCUCUCUCACGAGCAAUACCGUGAAGGGAGCUUUCACGGCAUUGUCGCGCUGGUGAGGCUGUGGCGACUGCCCUCUUGCCCUCAUACGCGCGCGUACAAGUAUGCGAGCCUUCUCUUUGUUUUUCCUUCUCCAUUUUCUUUGCCUCUUGCCCACCGCGCGAUCGCCUUUUCGCAGGCGACGGAGAAGUGGGUUCCCCUUACGCAGUGGCGAGACAGAGGAGGGAAGAAGGCAAGACGCCGCGUGAGCGCCGAAGCGGGUGGUGUUGGUGGUGGUGGCGGCGCUCUCGUGAGGCGGCAGCAAUGAGAAACACCGGCGAGAACCGCGAGCGUCGAGCGCGCCAGCCUUUUUUUUUCCUUGUCUUCGUAAUUGUGCUCACGCCAGCUCAGGUGUGUGCGUGUUUGUGCGUGCAGUGUUACAAUACAUUGAAGAGGGAGGGCGAAGCUCCCCCUCCUUUUCCUCCUCACCUGAUGCGCGUAGAGAGCGGACCGAACAAACAUCCUCGUCUGCGCACAGCUUCUCACCUAACCACCUCCGCUGUGAGGUGGGUGCCGUCGUCACGAUGGCGAUGCUGAUAACGGAUAUCGGUCGCGUGACGUGUGAGGAGUGCGUGCACUGUGCGAAGUGGCGGCGCGAACAAGAAAAGACGCAACGCACACCCCUGCACACGCACGCAUACACGCAUGCAACAACAAAGAAUAUAUAUAUAUAUAAGGUUGGCCCACGGUGAUACGGCCAGAAAGCAUGCGUGCACACACACACACACACACACACAAGCGGAGAAAAAUAAAAGCAAAAACCACAAACACCCACAAAAAAAAUAAAAAAGAAAAGAAGGAGCGAACGCCUCCCCUCCCCUCCCCCUAUUCUCUCCACACACGCGAGAAAAGAUGAUGAUGUGUCCCUGCCACGUGCGCAUGCGUACUGUUUCGCAGAGAUAAGAAUAGAGGAAGAUUGAAGGAUAGAGCGAGAGAGAACGGAGGGAGGCACACACACACACACACACACACGCAUGCACGCACGCACGAAGAAAAAAAGAAAAGGACAACAUCGUAACAGGAGCGUCAGGGCGAGGGGUGCGCGUAUGUGUAUGCUAAUCGUGCAGAGGAGGAAACACCGAUGUUUCGCUCCUUUUUUUUGCUUUGAAAAGCAUCCCCCUCCCCUACCAUGUGAGCGCAAGGCUUCAACGACCAAGUCCCCCUCCCCCCAACAACAACGAAGGUAAACGAAAAAAAAAACAGCGGAAGGCGAGAGCUACCGGGCGGCACACUUCAGUGCUGGUGUUUGAAUAAAUGGACUGUAUCUCUCCGCCACCCCAUCGUUCGCUCCUGCCCCCUUCCCCCUCCCCUUCCACGGCCACUGCAUACAGUGCGCUCGUGAGCACGUCUGCGUGUGGCCGCACACCUCUCCGUCCCCGACGCUCUUCGAACAUGAUUCGGAUCUGCUAAAGCGGCUGAACAGAACGAGAGCGGCGGAUGAGCAAGGCACGGAACGAGGCGCAGCGUUAAAGGGCUUUUGGCCGACGAGGGAGACGGAGGAGGCGGAGAGCAGGAGUCGUGAUACCACCCAAGGGAGAGACGCCUCCGUAGUGAGCAGAGAAGCAGGCGUUGAAGCCUGUUUUUGAGAGGGUGUAUGCGCGGCAGACGAAUGAGGGAGAAGGAUGAACACAUGCGUCGACAUUGUGUUUCGUCUUCUCCCUCACGAGUGCCACACCGUGCGUGCACACGUGCGUUCUUUUCUUCUCCCGCCUUUUCUGUCUCCGGACGAACGGGUCCGCGAUGGAAUGACGAGAGAGAAGAGAGCGAGAGAGAGGAGCCCUCAACGGAUUCGUAGUAGUCAACUUGAUCCUUAGUAAAAGCUGUGUCUCUCCACUGAUGACCGUGUCUUGACGUUUGCGUUGUGGCGCUAUUUGCUUAUUCGUUUUUUUUUUGCUUCCUUCUCGUCGGUGCCGUUGUGUCGGCGUACCUCUUUAUGACUCCCUUAGCCAAUGGAAAAUGCGGCCGCACACAUGCACGCAGAGGAAGAGAAGAUUGUUUCUCAGUCUGAGCGAGAGAGCCAGAGGGGGUGCAGGCUUGUGCACAUAUGCAGAUGAGAGGGCACACCAUCCUUCAAGCGGAAGUAGUAGGAUGCAGUCGAUGGAGUGGGCGAUAGUCAAGUGCUGUGCAGGCUUGCUUAGCUAUAAUACCAAAACCUGAAAAACCAACGUGCUGUUUCUUCUUUAUUGCCCCUCCUCCCUCCCUCCCUCCUCUCGUGAAGCGCCACUCGUACCGUUAACCCCCCCUCCCCCCACAUCCCUCUUCCCUUUCGACACUUUCGCUUCCUUUGCACGCCCCCUCCCUCUCUCUCUUUGGCACCCCUCUUCACUCUGGCGCAGAAAUGCUGAGGGCAGCGAUGUGUGGUGAUACGCGCACACAACGCUGUUUGUGGAUGGUGACGGCCCCCGCUCACGUCUGCCAGCUGCUCUCGAUACUGUUUUGUAGCUUCAUGCUGAUGGUUGCUUUUUUCUUUUUUAAAAUGUUUGAGUUUUCACCUCUUUGCUCUUGUCGCUCUUGUUAUCGAUGUUUUUUUUUUUCUUCGCCUCCCCCCCCCGUCCCACUCGUGUUCGUGUGCGUGCGUUGCUGACUGACCGCCCGCCCGCUCUUCCUCUCUUUCUUUCUCUCUCUCGCUCUAUCUCGAUAGAUCUAUCGCGCGCUUGACAAGCUCUCCUGUGUAUCCUCUAUCUCAGCUCCGACAUGCGUCACGUCAAUCUUGGAAGCGUAUCUUCUCCCUUCUGUUUCUUAUUUUUUUUUCUCCCUCUCCCCCCUUUCCCCUUCAUUUUCAUUGCCAUGCCUGUUCGUUUCUUCUUCCUCUUUAGGUUUUGUGUCGGGUCACAAGCGCGCGGGUGUGCUGUUGUAUCUUGGAUGUGAUGUUGUUGAUGUCGUUGCCUCUCCCAUGGGCGUGUGUGUGUGUGUGGGUGUCUCUUAACUGUUUAAGUAAACGGGCGAACAAGAAAGCAAACAAGCCACUGAAAAAAAAAGAAGUGCUUCCUACAGCAGCACGAUCCCCAACAUCAGCCAACUCGGCCGGAACCCAAGCGGCGAGGCUGGUGGAAGAAAGAGAGGCGACCACGAUGCAAGGGCUUCCGUACAGUGCAUCCGAGGUUUUCGCUGCGCUCCACCACCCCACCCUUCCUCUUCUCCAUACUUUCUCUCUCAUCGUCUUUGCGGUGCUUUACAUACCAGGUGAGAAGAAGUGGGACGAGGGGGCUGGAGAGAGGGGAGCGGGUUGGUGGGGCUAAGAGAGCACGAAGCCACUCUGACAGACAAGGUUGUGCGCGUGCCACGAGGGACUUGUGGCCAGGUGUCGGAGGCCGAGAUGCAGGCAUGGACAUGGGGGGAGAGGGAAUGUGAAUGAGAUGAGGUGAAGGUCAGGGGGUGUGGGCGGUGACGUGCUAGAAGAGCUAUGCGGGUGUGCGUGCCUGUAUCCAGAGGCUCUCGCACGCAACAGAGAUGGGCGACUUGUCGCUCUCUCCGCGUUUCUCCGCCGACGGCGCUUGCUCUCGCCCUCUACCGGUGUCCUAUUCGCAUCUCGCAACCCCUCAUCCUUGGCUCCUGGGCGCCUGCGUGCCCCGCCCUCCUAUGGCUCUUCACGGGAGACGCUACCAACGGUGCCCGUGCGCACGCGAAUGUCUCGUGGCGGUGUGCAGGCCUCACUGCACAUAAUGUGCCGGAGUCGCCGAUGCGACG
rnacentral:misc_RNA from 1 species